rnacentral:tRNA from 1 species
GCUCCCAUGGCGUAGUGGUCACUGCACUUGCCUUGCACGUGGGAAGCCCGGGUUCAAUUCCCGGCGGGGUCA